rnacentral:rRNA from 1 species
UAGGGAAUCUUCCACAAUGGACGCAAGUCUGAUGGAGCAACGCCGCGUGAGUGAAGAAGGUUUUCGGACCGUAAAGCUCUGUUGUUGGUGAAGAAGGAUAGAGGUAGUAACUGGCCUUUAUUUGACGGUAAUCAACCAGAAAGUCACGGCUAACUACGUGCCAGCAGCCGCGGUAAUACGUAGGCGGCAAGCGUUGUCCGGAUUUAUUGG